rnacentral:lncRNA from 1 species
GUGCAUCUCCAUGAUGGCAUAAUUGACCAAUGGGACCUUCACAUGCCAAAUGUUCGGAUUUUGAAAGUAUUCAUUCGGAAUUACUGCCCGAAUUGCUGGAUUCUCGUAUGGUGUCCAUUAAAACUAUAUGAACAUGAUAAAAAUAUUAGUUAUAUGCAUAAUAAUAAAUACAAAAUACUAAAUACUAAAUACUAAAUACGAAUCGACUAUUUUAUUAUGUAUAUCUAUUUUAUUUAAUACUAACUUGUGCUUCCGACCAUUGGUCUAAUAGAAGCCGUAUAUCUUCAAGAGAGGUAGGUAAUCCAACAUAACUUGCUGAACGGUUCC